rnacentral:rRNA from 1 species
UCCAGACUCCUACGGGAGGCAGCAGUGGGGAAUAUUGCACAAUGGGGGAAACCCUGAUGCAGCGACGCCGCGUGAGCGAUGAAGUAUUUCGGUAUGUAAAGCUCUAUCAGCAGGGAAGAAGAUGACGGUACCUGACUAAGAAGCCCCGGCUAACUACGUGCCAGCAGCCGCGGUAAUACGUAGGGGGCGAGCGUUAUCCGGAUUCACUGGGUGUAAAGGGAGCGUAGACGGCCAAGCAAGCCAGGGGUGAAAGCCCGGGGCCCAACCCCGGGACUGCCCUUGGAACUGCAUGGCUGGAGUGCGGGAGGGGCAGGCGGAAUUCCUGGUGUAGUGGUGAAAUGCGUAGAUAUCAGGAGGAACACCGGCGGCGAAGGCGGCCUGCUGGACCGCGACUGACGUUGAGGCUCGAAAGCGUGGGGAGCAAACAGGAUUAGAUACCCGUGUAU